rnacentral:rRNA from 1 species
AUAUCACUAAGCGGAGGAAAAGAAAUUAACUAAGAUUGCCUCAGUAACGGCGAGUGAAGCGGGAAGAGCUCAAAUUUAAAAUCUGGCUUGCUUGCAGGCCCGAGUUGUAUUCUAAAGAAGCGUUUUCCUUGAACGCCAAGGCAAAAGUCCUCUGGAAAGGGGCAUCAUAGAGGGUGAGAAUCCCGUCUUUGGCCUUGAGUUUGUUCAUUUUGUGAUACGUUCUCUACGAGUCAGGUUGUUUGGGAAUGCAGCCUAAAAAUGGGUGGUAAAUUCCAUCUAAAGCUAAAUAUUGGCGAGAGACCGAUAGCGCACAAGUA